rnacentral:ncRNA from 1 species
AUCUUCAGGGCAGGGUGAAAUUCCCGACCGGCGGUAGAGUCCGCGAGCGCCUUUGUGCGCAGGAACCGGUGCGAUUCCGGUACCGACAGUAUAGUCUGGAUGGAAGAAGAA